rnacentral:rRNA from 1 species
GAUGAACGCUGGCGGCGUGCCUAAUACAUGCAAGUCGAGCGAACAGACGAGGAGCUUGCUCCUUUGACGUUAGCGGCGGACGGGUGAGUAACACGUGGGUAACCUACCUAUAAGACUGGGAUAACUUCGGGAAACCGGAGCUAAUACCGGAUAAUAUUUCGAACCGCAUGGUUCGAUAGUGAAAGAUGGCUUUGCUAUCACUUAUAGAUGGACCUGCGCCGUAUUAGCUAGUUGGUAAGGUAACGGCUUACCAAGGCAACGAUACGUAGCCGACAUGAGGGGGUGAUCGGCCACACUGGAACUGAGACACGGUCCAGACUCCUACGGGAGGCAGCAGUAGGGAAUCUUCCGCAAUGGGCGAAAGCCUGACGGAGCAACGCCGCGUGAGUGAUGAAGGUCUUCGGAUCGUAAAACUCUGUUAUUAGGGAAGAACAAACGUGUAAGUAACUGUGCACGUCUUGACGGUACCUAAUCAGAAAGCCACGGCUAACUACGUGCCAGCAGCCGCGGUAA